CUAACCGCCAAAAUAACGUAAGCGACAUUUAUUUCAAAAUUUUAUUUUGGCGGUUAGGGCUCGAUAUGUAUUACGAAAUAACGAAAUGAAUUAUGAAAUAUGUACGUACGCCCCGCUCCACAUGUAUAGGCAUGUGUUUUCUUCAAAAAUUAAGCUUCCAUCGGCAUUUGUAGGCACCUGAAAGCUUCAAUUUAUUUUCUUCUUGAAGAAUAACCAAAUCUGAAGAAAACUCGAUAGGGAAGUUGGUAAAAAAAGGUUACCUUCUCUUUUCAUAGUAAUAUUAUGCGGCUUACGAAAAAAUGCUUGUUUUUCAUUCAUUUGAACAGUGCACAGUGACUUAAUUAAAAUAUAAGGAAAAACAAGGAGAUUGCAGAUCGUUUAAUGAAUUGCCUGAUAAGUACAUUUUGUAAACUAACCUUCGCCAUACGUUUUCCAUCUAAUUUAGAGUGGCUCGUUUUUGAAACACCUAUGGCACAAAUCGGUUAAAUUCGUUGGAGCCAUCAAAAGCAUGUAUGUCUAAUGUGACCAACUAUUUCAUAGCUGGAAGAAGUACAGGUUUAACCCACGUUCAAGUGGUUGCCCCAGGCCCCCAGGAACACACUUAGAUAAUUAAGUGAUUGUCCCUUGUAAUGCCACUGAACGGAGAACCUCGAUUUAGUCGACGAAACGCCGAGAGCCGAUUACCAAAUUUCGAAUGCGCCUAAUUUCGAUCCCUGAGAGCUCAGUGUUAGUUAAGAAGUGCGAGUCGAAAUGCUUCCCUCUUAGGCCGAGGCCACGCAAUGAGCGGCAAAGCGGCGAGCGGCUGAGCCGCUUAAUUAAAA